rnacentral:tRNA from 1 species
GCCGACGUAGCUCAAUCGGCAGAGCGCCCGCCUUGUAAGCGGGUGGUUGCCGGUUCGAUUCCGGCCGUCGGCU